AUGAUGGCGUCCACGGCCUCUUCUCCAGAGGGCAGCAGCAAAAUGCUUAACCAGAAGAACUUUCCCGUUCUUACACAGAACUCCAAUAUAUACGGCACAUAAAGCAAAAAUGCUGUGGCAGCGAGACUCUCGGAGUUCCAUGCGGACCCAUGAGUUCCACUAAAGGCUGUGCAAAUGUAAGCUGCUUAACUCCGAAAUGAGAAAGGCCAAUUCUGUUUACUGUCAUGCGGACUCCUUUAAGGAGUUAUCAGAUCUACUAAAGGACCUCUUAGAUUUGUGACCUGUGAAAAUCUCCUCUCCGAGUCACAAGGCACAAAUAC